GUGGGGAAUCUUGCGCAAUGGGCGAAAGCCUGACGCAGCCAUGCCGCGUGAAUGAUGAAGGUCUUAGGAUUGUAAAAUUCUUUCACCGGGGACGAUAAUGACGGUACCCGGAGAAGAAGCUCCGGCUAACUUCGUGCCAGCAGCCGCGGUAAUACGAAGGGGGCUAGCGUUGCUCGGAAUUACUGGGCGUAAAGGGCGCGUAGGCGGACAGCUUAGUCAGAGGUGAAAGCCCGAGGCUCAACCUUGGAAUUGCCUUUGAUACUGGCUGUCUUGAGUUUGGGAGAAGUGAGUGGAACUACGAGUGUAGAGGUGAAAUUCGUAGAUAUUCGGAAGAACACCAGUGGCGAAGGCGACUCACUGGCCCAAUACUGACGCUGAGGUACGAAAGCAUGGGGAGCAAACAGGAUUAGAAACCCUUGUAGUCC
rnacentral:rRNA from 1 species